GUUUGAUACCCCGAAACUACGUGAGCUACUUCAAGACAGCCUAUUAAUAGGGCUAACCCAUCUCUGUGGCAAAAGCGUGGGAAGAACUUUGAGUAGAGGUGACAAACCUACCGAACCUAGUUAUAGCUGGUUGUCCAAGAAAUGAAUAAAAGUUCAGCCUCUAAGCUUCUCCUUUCACCUGAACUUAACCCCUUUAGAUGUAUUAAAGAAACUAAGAAAGUUAGUCAAAGGAGGUACAGCUCCUUUGAAUCAAGACACAACUUUAACAGGCGGGUAAAGAUCAUAAUAACCAAAGCUAGACAUUCUGGUGGGCCUAAAAGCAGCCAUCCCUUAGAAAGCGUUAAAGCUCAAACAUAUUACUUAUACCUUCUUAUCCUGAUCAAUAAAUCUCACCCCCCUAACCAUACUGGACCCUCCCAUGCCCCCAUGGGUGUGAUUAUGCUAAUAUGAGUAAUAAGAGAGCCCGCCUCUCUCCCUGCACACGUGUACCUCGGAACAGACAACCCACCGACCAUUAACGACCCCAAACAAAGAGGGUAAUAAAUCAUAAACUAAAAUCAAGUAAAACAUUUAAAAAUUAACCGUUAACCCCACACAGGUGUACCCCAAGGAAAGACCUAAAGAAAGAGAAGGAACUCGGCAAACACAUAAAGUCUCGCCUGUUUACCAAAAACAUCGCCUCUUGUGCCCCCC
rnacentral:rRNA from 1 species